UGGGGAAUAUUGCGCAAUGGGGGAAACCCUGACGCAGCGACGCCGCGUGCGGGAUGAAGGCCUUCGGGUUGUAAACCGCUUUUGAUUGGGAGCAAGCCUUUUGGGUGAGUGUACCUGUCGAAUAAGCGCCGGCUAACUACGUGCCAGCAGCCGCGGUAAUACGUAGGUGGCAAGCGUUGUCCGGAAUUAUUGGGCGUAAAGCGCGCGCAGGUGGUUUAGAAAGUCUGAUGUGAAAGCCCACGGCUCAACCGUGGAGGGUCAUUGGAAACUAAUAAACUUGAGUGCGGGAGAGAAAAGUGGAAUUCCUAGUGUAGCGGUGAAAUGCGUAGAGAUUAGGAGGAACACCGGUGGCGAAAGCGGCUUUUUGGCCUGCAACUGACACUGAGGCGCGAAAGCGUGGGGAGCAAACAGG
rnacentral:rRNA from 1 species